GAUGAACGCUGGUGGCGUGCCUAAUACAUGCAAGUCGAGCGAACAGACGAGGAGCUUGCUCCUCUGACGUUAGCGGCGGACGGGUGAGUAACACGUGGAUAACCUACCUAUAAGACUGGGAUAACUUCGGGAAACCGGAGCUAAUACCGGAUAAUAUAUUGAACCGCAUGGUUCAAUAGUGAAAGACGGUUUUGCUGUCACUUAUAGAUGGAUCCGCGCCGCAUUAGCUAGUUGGUAAGGUAACGGCUUACCAAGGCAACGAUGCGUAGCCGACCUGAGAGGGUGAUCGGCCACACUGGAACUGAGACACGGUCCAGACUCCUACGGGAGGCGGCAGUAGGGAAUCUUCCGCAAUGGGCGAAAGCCUGACGGAGCAACGCCGCGUGAGUGAUGAAGGUCUUCGGAUCGUAAAACUCUGUUAUUAGGGAAGAACAAAUGUGUAAGUAACUAUGCACGUCUUGACGGUACCUAAUCAGAAAGCCACGGCUAACUACGUG
rnacentral:rRNA from 1 species